UUUUUUUUUUUUUCUUUAGCUUGGUGAUGAAUACAUGAAGAUAUUUUUAUUCGUUCAACCACUUUUUUAAUGGUGUUCCAUACCGAUACAUUUUGACACGCAGUACCGUUUCGGUUUAUAUACAAAAUUCUAAUUCGGUUCGGUUCGGUUCGGUUCAAAUAUAUAAUCUAACGGGCCUAUUUCGGUACCUUGCAAAUAUAUGGCCCAACGAUGUUGCGGAACAAAAGGGUAAUCUUGGAAUGUGACAGUGAUUCUCGUGAAUUGCUAAAACACUUAAAAGACAAUAUCUCAUCUCACGACACGUCGCCAGCUCUGGAACUUCGGACCGUCCGAUCAACUGCGCUUUUAACUUUUUGCUAAUCUUCGUUUUUGUCCUUGGAUCGGUCGAUAUUUGUAUUAACACCCCAAAAACUUCUGAGUCGAUACCAAACACCCAGAGAUCGUUUCUUUCGUUUGCGUUUGCUCACUCCUCCACGAUGUUUAGUCGUACCUCUUGAAAGCUUUGACGGAGCUAUAGAAUAGAGCCAUUUUCAGGCAAUGCAGCUACGUGUUGGACCAAGAUCAAAGAGUUCGAACCACUCGGUAGAUGAUACCAUGAACUACCAAAACAUGACUUUCUCUUACCUGAACUCGUAGAAACCUUAAAAGAAAAUGAAGAAGAUUGGUUUAGGAGCUUCACCAGAUGGAGUCGUUCACGUGGUUAGAGUGGUGUUCUUGAAGAAGAUUCCUUGGUACUAUGUUAUGGAUAAGAGAUUGGUUGGAUUUGUAUUGUUGGACUGUUAAUGGGAGUAGUUUGUUUAGGAUUGAAAGAGAUUUUGUGUUUUGGGGAGAUGUGUAACACUUGUUGAUUUUUGGGUGAACCAUGUUGUGCCUGGGAGAGAUGUUCAAGAGUUGUGUUGUAACGGAUCCUUUUUAGUGGAUCAACUGUAAGCGUUUCUUUUUAUGAAAUUAAUGGACAAAUUCUAGAUUGAUA